GUCCACGCUGUAAACGAUGAAUACUAUUUGUGGAGGGCUAUAUGCCCCCUGCAAAAAGACUAACGCGUUAAGUAUUCCGCCUUAGCAGUACGAUCGCAAGAUUAAAACUACAAAGUAAUUGACGGGGGCCCGCACAAGCGGUGGAUCAUGUGGUUUAAUUCGAUGCUAACCGAAAACCUUACCAGCUUUUGACAUGCAUAUUUUGGAUUCACGAAAGUGGUCCUUCAUUAGUUGGGUAUGCACAGGUGUUGCAUGGCUGUCGU
rnacentral:rRNA from 1 species